UUGACCCGGCGAUGUCCGAAUGGGGAAACCCAGUGUGUUCCGACACACUAUCGUUAACUGAAUACAUAGGUUAACGAGGCGAACCGGGGGAACUGAAACAUCUAAGUACCCCGAGGAAAAGAAAUCAACCGAGAUUCCCCCAGUAGCGGCGAGCGAACGGGGAGCAGCCCGGAGUCUGAAUCAGCUUGUGUGUUAGUGGAACGGUCUGGAAAGUCCGACGGUACAGGGUGAUAGUCCCGUACACGAAAA
rnacentral:rRNA from 1 species